rnacentral:misc_RNA from 1 species
GUUGAGUAUGGUGAAUUUUGUCCUUGAUCUCUCUCAUGUGCUGAGUAAUGCGAGCCAACUACACUUCAAUAUACUUGGUUACAAGAAUUCUGAAACAGAAAUAAGUACUUCUGAUUGCAUAGACAAGGUUGCUUUACCAGAAAAUAAAGAUCUUCAGCACUCAGGAGAGGUAUAUGCAAAUGGUUGUGCUCAUUUUUCUGAUUCUACUUCUGAUCCGGACAUCCCUCAUGAAGGAAGUCUUGUUCCUACUUCAGAGUCAACAUCAACCUCUUUGAAGUGCUCGUUGGAGGAGGUUGAACAAUUGAAAUUAGAGAAAGAAAAUAUGGCUCUUGAUCUUGCUAGAUACUCUGAGAACCUGGCGAGCACUAAAUCCCAAUUGACUGAAACCGAGCAACUUCUUGCAGAUGUUAAGUCACAAUUAGUAUCUGCUCAAAAGGCAAACAGCUUGGCUGAAACUCAGCUCAAAUGCAUGGCAGAGUCGUAUAACUCACUUGAAACUCGGACCGAGGAGUUGCAAACUGAAGUCAACCGUCUUCAGGCCAAGAUUGAAAGUCUUGAUAAUGAGCUUCAAGAGGAAAAGAAGAAUCACCAGGAUACUUUAGCUAGUUGCAAGGAUCUUGAAGAGCAACUGCAAAGGAUGGAGACUGCUGCUGAUCUCAACGCAAAGUCCAACCAGGAGAAAGACUUGACUGCUGCAGCAGAGAAGCUAGCUGAGUGUCAAGAAACCAUAUUUCUUCUAGGUAAACAGUUGAACUCUUUGCGUCCUCAGACGGAGUUUAUGGGGUCUCCAUACAUCGAUAGAAGUUCAAAAGGGGAGGGGUUUCGGGAAGAAUCGACAACCACUAGCAUGAACAUCCAUGACAAUGAUGUAGCUGAAAUGGACAGUGCCAGUUCAGUAAAAGCAACUUGUGAGUCCCCUGUGGAUAUAUAUAAUGUGUCAUAUAGUCCUUCGGAUACUGAAGUGAACAAUCCAUUGAGAUCACCAAUCAGCUCAAAGUCUCCUAAACACCGGCCUACUAAGUCUGG